rnacentral:rRNA from 1 species
AUUGAACGCUGGCGGCAGGCCUAACACAUGCAAGUCGAGCGAGCGGCGGACGGGUGAGUAAUGUAUGGGGACUGCCCGAUAGAGGGGGAUAACUCCUGGAAACGGUAGCUCAUACCGCAUACUAUCGGAUAACCCAUAUGGGAUUAGCUAGUAGGUGGGGUAAUGGCUCACCUCGGCGCCGAUCCCUAGCUGGCCUGAGAGGAUGAUCAGCCACACGGGGACGGAGAAACGGCCCAGACUCCUACGGAGGAAGCAGUGGGGAAUAUUGCACAAUGGGCGCAAGCCUGAUGCAGCCAGGCGGCGUGUAUGAAGAAGGCCCUAGGGUUGUAAAGUACUUUCAGGCGGGAGGCGUUACCGACAGAAGAAGCACCGGCUAACUCCGGGCCAGCAGCCGCGGUAAUUC